rnacentral:rRNA from 1 species
AUUGAACGCUGGCGGCAGGCUUAACACAUGCAAGUCGAGCGGGGAAAGGUAGCUUGCUACCUGACCUAGCGGCGGACGGGUGAGUAAUGCUUAGGAAUCUGCCUAUUAGUGGGGGACAACAUCUCGAAAGGGAUGCUAAUACCGCAUACGUCCUACGGGGGAAAGCAGGGGACCUUCGGGCCUUGCGCUAAUAGAUGAGCCUAAGUCGGAUUAGCUAGUUGGUGGGGUAAAGGCCUACCAAGGCGACGAUCUGUAGCGGGUCUGAGAGGAUGAUCAGCCACCCUGGGACUGAGACACGGCCCAGACUCCUACGGGAGGCAGCAGUGGGGAAUAUUGGACAAUGGGGGGAACCCUGAUCCAGCCAUGCCGCGUGUGUGAAGAAGGCCUUUUGGUUGUAAAGCACUUUAAGCGAGGAGGAGGCUACCGAGAUUAAUACUCUUGGAUAGUGGACGUUACUCGCAGAAUAAGCACCGGCUAACUCUGUGCCAGCAGCCGCCGUAACAC